ACGGAAGUUUAUCAUUCCAGAAUUUGAGGCAUUUGUGGGUGUCAUAAAUAAUAUUUACUACACAUCAAAACUGCAACAUGAUGGACAGGUUGCAAAAUACAUUCCCCAUCUGACCAAGUUUAGUCCUGAUCUUUGGGGUGUUUCUCUCUGCACAGUGGAUGGACAAAGGCACUCAGUGGGAGACACAAAGGUGCCGUUCUGCUUGCAGUCGUGCGUAAAGCCGCUUGAAUACGCCAUCGCUGUACACGAACACGGCACGGAGCGCGUUCACCACUACGUCGGGAAGGAGCCCAGCGGAUUCAAAUUCAACAAACUCUCCCUAGAUGAAGAAAAUAAACCUCACAAUCCCAUGGUCAAUGCUGG